rnacentral:rRNA from 1 species
CCUACGGGAGGCUGCAGUGGGGAAUAUUGGGCAAUGGGCGCAAGCCUGACCCAGCAACGCCGCGUGAAGGAAGAAGGCUUUCGGGUUGUAAACUUCUUUUCUCAGGGACGAAGCAAGUGACGGUACCUGCGGAAUAAGCCACGGCUAACUACGUGCCAGCAGCCGCGGUAAUACGUAGGUGGCAAGCGUUAUGCGGAUUUAAUGGGUGUAAAGGGCGUGUAGGCGGGAAAGCAAGUCAGAUGUGAAAACCAUGGGCUCAACCUGUGGCCUGCAUUUGAAACUGUUUUUCUUGAGUACUGGAGAGGCAGACGGAAUUCCUGGUGUAGCGGUGAAAUGCGUAGAUAUUAGGAGGAACACCAGUGGCGAAGGCGGUCUGCUGGACAGCAACUGACGCUGAGGCGCGAAAGCGUGGGGAGCAAACAGGAUUAGAUACCCUUGUAGUC